AUACUUACCUGGCGUAGGGGAUACCGUGAACAUGCAGGCGGUUCCCCCAGAGCGAGGCUGCUCCAUUGCACUGCAGAGUGGUUGACCCUUGCCAUUAUUUUUAUUUUUAUCAAUAAAGAAAUCAUAAUAAAAAAAGUGUGUGUGUCCGCUCCGACGCACG
rnacentral:snRNA from 9 species